GCGCUGGUGGUGUAGUGGUUAAGCGCGCAACCACCUGCAGAGACUACAGUCCUCUGUGAGGCUGUCCCAGGUUCGAGUCCCUGACCCAGCGACCCU